rnacentral:lncRNA from 1 species
CUCCAUUAAUUAAUUGACAAAAAAUAUGACAAUCUCAAUUUUGUAAUUUUGCAAAAUUAACAAAAACAAUCAAAAGAAAUUUAAAGACAACUCCCAGAUUUUCUUCUUCUUUUGAAUUAUUGUAGAAGUGUAAUCAAAUAUUUUGGUCUUGACUUUAUCAUCACUUUACUUUUGUACUCAGCCGCAACCACUACCUAAAUUAAGAACCCUCAUUCUUAACUCAAGCUUGUAGUUAGAUUCAUUGAUGGGAUUGAAUAUUGAGCGCACGUUGUUUUGUAUUCUCCUAGCGAUUGUUUGAAGCUCAUUUUCAUCUCAUUUGUAGACAUUUCUUUAGCGUUACACAGUGAACAAUUAUCUCUUUAUUCAAUAUUUUUUACACUGACUUGACAAAAGUCUAUCCAGAGUUAUUCCUCUCUUUUAAAUUUUACCAAUUUUUUCCAUCACUCCAACUAUCCAGUUUUCAGUAGUUUGCACUGUGAUUUCUUUGCCAUUAAUGGGGUAUAAAUAGAAAACAAAGACAAAACUGAAUUGUGAUAAGAUUGGAAAAUGAAUUCUCUCAAAUGCGAUCAAUGGAAAUAUAUGAAGAGUAGAGGUAUAACAAGGCAAAAAUGCGAUCAAGAUCAUCACGGAAGGACCAACUAUCCAUCCUAGUUGAUCAAUGGCCCAAGGUAAGGACGAGAAUCCAAUAAAAUAAGA